rnacentral:rRNA from 1 species
GUGGGGAAUUUUGGACAAUGGGCGAAAGCCUGAUCCAGCAUUGCCGCGUGUGUGAAGAAGGCCUUCGGGUUGUAAAGCACUUUUGGCGGGGAAGAAACAGUGCGUGCUAAUACCAUGCGCGAAUGACGGUACCUGCAGAAUAAGCACCGGCUAACUACGUGCCAGCAGCCGCGGUAAUACGUAGGGUGCAAGCGUUAAUCGGAAUUACUGGGCGUAAAGCGUGCGCAGGCGGCUUUGUAAGACGGAUGUGAAAGCCCCGGGCUCAACCUGGGAAGUGCAUUCGUGACUGAAAGGCUAGAGUGUGUCAGAGGGAGGUGGAAUUCCGCGUGUAGCAGUGAAAUGCGUAGAGAUGCGGAGGAACACCGAUGGCGAAGGCAGCCUCCUGGGAUAACACUGACGCUCAGGCACGAAAGCGUGGGGAGCAAACAGGAUUAGAAACCCCUGUAGUCC